rnacentral:rRNA from 1 species
GUGACAUACCACUUGUUGCCUCGGCGGAUCAGCCCGCUCCCGGUAAAACGGGACGGCCCGCCAGAGGACCCCUAAACUCUGUUUCUAUAUGUAACUUCUGAGUAAAACCAUAAAUAAAUCAAAACUUUCAACAACGGAUCUCUUGGUUCUGGCAUCGAUGAAGAACGCAGCAAAAUGCGAUAAGUAAUGUGAAUUGCAGAAUUCAGUGAAUCAUCGAAUCUUUGAACGCACAUUGCGCCCGCCAGUAUUCUGGCGGGCAUGCCUGUUCGAGCGUCAUUUCAACCCUCAAGCACAGCUUGGUGUUGGGACUCGCGUUAAUUCGCGUUCCUCAAAUUGAUUGGCGGUCACGUCGAGCUUCCAUAGCGUAGUAGUAAAACCCUCGUUACUGGUAAUCGUCGCGGCCACGCCGUUAAACCCCAACUUCUGAAUGUUGACCUCGGAUCAGGUAGGAAUACCCGCUGAACUUAAGCAUAUCAAUAAGCGGAG